GCCAGGUGUGGUGGUGCACACCUGUAAUCCCAGUUACCCAGGAGGCUGAGGCAGGAGAAUCACUUGAGCCCAGGAGGUGGAGGUUGCAGUGAGCCAAGAUUGUGCCACUGCACUCCAGCCUGGGCAACAGAGCAAGACUCUCUCUCUC
rnacentral:SRP_RNA from 1 species